UGGCUGUGUCGUCACCUUGGCCAUACAAAACCUGUCCACAGAGAAGCAUACAGGCAAAUGCCUGGUUUGUUUGAGAGAGUCUAUGUUACCAAACUAAUGAUGGUGCAAGACUUGAAUUUAACCGGGCAGUUCAAGGGGCAGUCAUUAGAGGAUAUUGAUUUGAAAGAUAUUGUGUAUGGGGCAGAUGAGCAGCAGGAAGGAAGAAGAGUUGUGAGACUUUAGACUCUGUUGAUGGUAUACAUGAAGAAUCUGACUGUACUCAAGACAAACAGUCAGGAAAAAGAAACUUCAGUGCUAUUUCCUCAGAUGAAGAAGAAGAUAAAGUACAUGCACCAGAAAAAAAAAAAAAGGAAAAAGAUGACAGCUCGUCAGAGAUGGACUGAUACUGAAGUUGAAGAGUUAAGGACUUAUUUUAAAACCUACCUUGACAGUGGAAUAACUCCUCGCGGACCUGCUUGUUUAAAAGCAAAAAAAAAUGAGUCAGGAAAAGGGUGGUGAGAUUUGGAGAAGGCAAAUCACCUAAUUAUCAAGAAGAUCAGCAAUAUGAACCAUAAGUAAAACCACUGAGUUUAAUUAAACAUUGUUCAUAUUGCCAUAAGAAUUUGUCCUUUAGAAUAUUGUUGUAAUCUUAAAUACUUAUUGUUGGAUUUUCAUGGAAAUUACAUAUAGGUCAGUAAGCUUAACACAGUGUUUCUUUUUUUAAAUGACUAGUUAAAUAAGAUAGUACACUUCUGUUAGCCUAUUAAUUUAGGAAAAGCAUAGAGUUAUUAUAAUGGGAGAAAGAGUAUUACCAUGGAAUGUGUGCAUGGUACAUUGACAUUGUAAAUCUGAAUUUUGUAACCAUAAUUCAACCUUGUUCCUCAGAUUUUUUUGUUUACCCUUAUUUAUUCAUUGAUCUGAAGCCAUUUUCAUCUAGUGUUCUUUAUUUCUUUAGCCUGUUAAGGACUUGUUAGAACAAAUAUAGGCUACCUAAAACAUUUAUUUUUCAUUGCAAAUAUUGUUUUGUUCAUCAACAGUUAUUUUUCUCCAUCUUAUGAAUAAAGUUAUAAAGGAGGCACUCUGUUUUGUUUUGUUUCAUUAUGUGACAUUGUGCAUCAUUAACCCUUCAUAGUAUUUAUAACCAUGUAAAAUUUCUUAAAAAUU